UACGUAAGGGGCAAGCGUUGUCCGGAAUCACUGGGCGUAAAGCGCACGUAGGCGGUGUAGCAAGGCAGGGGUGCAAGCUCUAGGCCUAACCUAGAAAUUGCCUCUGAAACUACUAUGCUUGAGGAACAGAGGGGAAACUGGAAUUCACGGUGUAGCGGUGAAAUGCGUAGAUAUCGUGGAGAACACCCGUGGCGAAGGCGGGUUUCUGGCUGUUUUCUGACGCUGAGGUGCGAAAGCUAGGGGAGCGAACGGG
rnacentral:rRNA from 1 species